rnacentral:rRNA from 1 species
UCCUUCUGACCGGCCUAGAGAUAGGCUUUCUCUUCGGAGCAGAAGUGACAGGUGGUGCAUGGUUGUCGUCAGCUCGUGUCGUGAGAUGUUGGGUUAAGUCCCGCAACGAGCGCAACCCCUAUUGUUAGUUGCCAUCAUUAAGUUGGGCACUCUAGCGAGACUGCCGGUAAUAAACCGGAGGAAGGUGGGGAUGACGUCAAAUCAUCAUGCCCCUUAUGACCUGGGCUACACACGUGCUACAAUGGUUGGUACAACGAGUCGCAAGCCGGUGACGGCAAGCUAAUCUCUUAAAGCCAAUCUCAGUUCGGAUUGUAGGCUGCAACUCGCCUACAUGAAGUCGGAAUCGCUAGUAAUCGCGGAUCAGCACGCCGCGGUGAAUACGUUCCCGGGCCUUGUACACACCGCCCGUCACACCACGAGAGUUUGUAACACCCGAAGUCGGUGAGGUAACCUUUUAGGAGCCAGCCGCCUAAGGUGGGAUAGAUGAUUGGGGUGAAGUCGUAACAAGGUAGCCGUAUCGGAAGGUGCGGCUGGAUCACCUCCUUUCUAAGGA